rnacentral:misc_RNA from 1 species
ACCCGUGUCGCCAUCGUUGGGCCCAAUGGGGCUGGAAAAUCUACUCUACUUAAUCUUCUUGCUGGCGAUUUGGUUGCAACUGAGGGUGAAGUAAGAAGAAGUCAGAAGUUGCGGAUUGGGAGGUAUUCACAACACUUCGUGGACCUAUUGACAAUGGAUGAAACACCUGUUCAGUAUCUUCUUCGACUUCAUCCUGAACAAGAGGGACUUAGUAAGCAGGAGGCCGUUCGUGCCAAGCUUGGGAAAUUUGGGCUCCCUAGUCAUAAUCACCUCACUCCAAUUGCAAAACUAUCAGGAGGGCAGAAAGCUCGGGUUGUAUUCACAUUGAUUUCCAUGUCUAGGCCGCACAUAUUAUUGUUGGAUGAGCCAACAAAUCAUUUAGACAUGCAGAGUAUUGAUGCAUUGGCUGAUGCACUGGAUGAAUUUACUGGCGGAGUUGUCUUGGUUAGUCAUGAUUCCAGGCUUGUAUCUUGUGUUUGUGAGGAUGAAGAGAGAAGUGAAAUUUGGGUAGUAGAAAAUGGAACCGUGAAUGCUUACCCUGGCACAUUUGAGGAGUACAAGGAAGAGCUACAGAGGGAAAUUAAAGCAGAGGUGGAUGACUAAAUGAUUAAGUGCUUAUUGUUCCAAUUGCAUAAAAUAGUUAGCCAAGCUGUUAUUAUCUUGUAUUUUCAUGUAAGUGCAUCAAAUCAGGUACUGUUUUCCCCUUUCCUCGCUAUCGAUGUUCAGUGUAUAAUCUAAUAUGUUGCUGUAUGUCAGAAACAAACAAUAAUUAAUUUAUCAAUUUUGCCCACUUGUUACUGACAUACAGCAACAUAUUAGAUUAUAC